CCAGAGCAGAGGGACAGAAAGCCCCCUGCCCAGCCCAGGGAUAGCCAGACCGCUGAGAGGAUGAAACUCUGACAAGCCGACAGACCGCAGGGAAACGAGCACAACUGCCCACAGAUAAUUGGUUGAAGGGAGAGUCCAGGAAGGUCAGCCAAGAAAGCAGCCUUAGGUGCCAGCGUGAAAUCUAUAGGAACUACAAUUACUUCAACAGUGAGCCGCUGGAACAAGGUGAAUGACAGACGCUGCUUCACACAGAGUGAUGCUGAGACUGGCUUAGGCUUGCAGCACCACUGAAGACUGGUACACGGCACUAGACAAUGACUAUUAGCCCCAAGACCAGCGAACAGUGAUCAACUGACCUCUGAGACAGGUAAGACUGUUACAAAUGUGAACAUUUACCACCCUGUGUAGAUAACUGUUACAUAUACUACAGAACGAGG
ensembl:lncRNA